GGAUGCGAUCAUACCAGCACUAAAGCUGGUAGAACUCCGAAGUUAAGCGUGCUUGGGCGAGAGUAGUACUAGGAUGGGUGACCUCCUGGGAAGUCCUCGUGUUGCAUUCC
rnacentral:rRNA from 1 species